AGAGUACCCCGGAGCAGCCCUGUCAUAUCCCACAAGAGAAAGAGACACAAAGAGACAGAGAAACAGUUUAUCUCUCCAACUGUGAAAUCUAACUAUUCAAGUCCACAUAGACUGGCAGAGUUUAGUUGCUCAGAAAAAGAGAGAAACAUUGAUCACUGUGGUUCACUCAAGGGCUCUUCAGGACAGACACAGUUCCCCACAGAUAAUCAUGGAAAAAGCUCAUUUUGUGGUUGUGGAUAUGGUGCUGGAAAUGCUGGAGGCUGUGAAAUGGGUUGUGUGUUAGCAGCAUUUAAAAAACACACAUCCUCAUCGAGACAGAUGCGAAACACAAAAUCCCUCAAAAACACACUCAAUCUAUUCCUCUGACAGCAGGUUUGAGGGUAAGAUCGGAUUGUGUUGCAACAAAGUCCUGUGUCAUCCGCAUGUGAUGUGGUCCUGCCAAAGAUCUCUUUAAAACUAACAGGUCAUCAUUAAUAAGUAUUUACUCCUGCAGUUUUUGGCAAGCGUUUUGCUGAAAUCCACUUUAGUACAGUAAUAGGUAUUUUACAAUAAUUGUAAACACACUGUUGUUUAUAGUUAAUCAAUAUUUGAUCAUUUAGUAGAUAUUCUCUAAUUUCCAGUGUCAUCCAUCGCUACACUGUGACUUGUAUUACUCUCAAUUGAUUCAUAUAAACACAACUAGACUUUGGUAUUAAUAUAACUGUAAUACUGUUGCAUUUUUAGUCUUAUUGUAUUUGUUUCUCUUUCUCUUUGUAUCUCUUUUAGAUGACAGCACCCCCAAACUAUCUUCAAGCAGAUACUCCCUGGCUUCUUUUCAGAGGUAUGCAGUGAAUUCUGCAUAUUCAAAGUCAUGUCACUGUGUUUUAGGCUAAUUUCCAGAUAGGGUUGUUUUAUUUGCAGUUGUCUCCAGAGCUCCAGAAUGCAGUGCUCGGCUGAAAAUUUAGCCCACCAUUUGGUGUCAGAGUUCAGGAAGCAGUGGUUCUCCUCUGAGCUACUGCAAAACCCCGACGACCUCAACUCUGCUCUUGCAGGAAGUAAGAAUGGUUAUGUAUAAACACACAUUCAUGCAAUGAGCACACGCAGGUGCAGCCACAAAAACAGACACACAUCUCCUUUUAUCUGUGACACACUGUACACACAUUAAACAUUUAUAACGGCAUUCAUUUUUACGAUGUUUAUUUUAUCACUUCUAAUAACACACACUUCUGUCUUUUCCCCAGGUCUCUGUCCCUGUUAUGGGAGAGAACAGGAUCAGUCUAACUGAAGAGAUUGUGCAGAAGACCAGAAUGAUGUUUUUAAAUUUAUUGUGUGUAAUCAUUUGCUUUAGGAUCUACAGGAGCAACUAAUAUCCAUCAAAAAGCUUCUG
ensembl:lncRNA